AUGCAUGUGCAAGUACAAGCCUAUGUAAGGUGAAACCGCGAAUGGCUCAUUAAAUCAGCUAUUAUUCAUUGGAUCUGUACCCCCCACUUACUUGGAUAACUGUGGUAAUUCUAGAGCUAAUACAUGCACACAUAGUCUCUGACCGUAAGGGAAGAGCGCUUUUAUUAGUUCAAAACCGGUCGGGCCUCGGUCCGUAACCCACCAGUGGUGAAUCUGAAUAACUUUAAGCUGAGCGCACGGUCUCCGCACUGGCGCCGCAUCUUUCAAGUGUCUGCCUUAUCAGCUUUCGAUUGUAGGUUAUGCGCCUACAAUGGCUAUAACGGGUAACGGGGAAUCAGGGUUCGAUUCCGGAGAGGGAGCCUGAGAAACGGCUACCACA
rnacentral:rRNA from 4 species